AACCAUUUGUCCCACGUCCCAUGGCAUUUUAAAAAAAUCUUUCCAAAAAUAGGGACUUUUUUAAAACGCCGUGGGACGCGGGACAAAUGGUUAA
rnacentral:pre_miRNA from 2 species